rnacentral:ribozyme from 1 species
GAAGAAAGAAUCAAAAAGAAAAAAGAAACACAGACGCGCGCGUCAAAAUCGUUGGCAUCACUUGUUCGUAUGACGAUUUUUUUUCUUCCAAUAAGAAGGUUUGGUAUGUGAGUGACCCCUUUCCCUCUCCAAAG